GUGUGAUUCGUCACACUAUCAUUAACUGAAUCCAUAGGUUAAUGAGGCGAACCGGGGGAACUGAAACAUCUAAGUACCCCGAGGAAAAGAAAUCAACCGAGAUUCCCCCAGUAGCGGCGAGCGAACGGGGAGGAGCCCAGAGCCUGAAUCAGCAUGUGUGUUAGUGGAAGCGUCUGGAAAGGCGCGCGAUACAGGGUGACAGCCCCGUACACAAAAGCGCAUGUGCUGUGAGCUCGAUGAGUAGGGCGGGACACGUGGUAUCCUGUCUGAAUAUGGGGGGACCAUCCUCCAAGGCUAAAUACUCCUGACUGACCGAUAGUGAACCAGUACCGUGAGGGAAAGGCGAAAAGAACCCCGGCGAGGGGAGUGAAAAAGAACCUGAAACCGUGUACGUACAAGCAGUGGGAGCACAGGUUUACCUGUGUGACUGCGUACCUUUUGUAUAAUGGGUCAGCGACUUAUAUUCUGUAGCAAGGUUAACCGUAUAGGGGAGCCGUAGGGAAACCGAGUCUUAAC
rnacentral:rRNA from 1 species